CACCUGCGCAGCUACGCCAUCCUCAGCUGUCCUAAACAGAUUAAAGAAACAUAUGUAAACACGUGCUCGGACGCGUACGUGCAGUCUCCCAACACACAUGGUCCUCGUCUACUUCUCAAAGCGCUCCAACGCCACGCCGAAGCCAGGAACCAUCAGAUAAACGGUCGUUUUGUUGACCCCGAGAGAAUGGUCUGCAGCUUUAAAUCCUCAGAGUCUGCUGGGACUCAAAGACACAGAGGAGAGGGUCUUCCUCAAGGCACAUCGUCAGACUUCUUCACACACAACAGGAAAGGAGGUGGAGAGAGGCCACUUAUCUUCCUCUCCAAUGUGUUCGCCCUCGCCACGAUUUCCACAGAGAGCCAGAGCUGCAGAACCUGCAUCUGGACUCUGUGCAGUUCCAGACUGACUGAGUCAGGGGUGAAGAAAGAGACAGCAGUCAACGCCGAGUCCAAAAACAAAACCACGGAACUAUCAACAGCAGACCAAAGCUUGGGGAUCCCAGCGGAGACAAACUCCACACCGGCUAAUGUCUUUAGCAGGUAUCGAGGAUAGAGCAGAGGGAUCUCCAGCAUCUUGGUGUUGGAUUGCAUGACUUCGUGGCUGGCAGUGGAGACGGUUUUGCCGGUGAUCCGGUGGACCUGGUAGAAGGCAUGCGGUCGCAGGAGGCGAUCGUCUGCGGU